rnacentral:rRNA from 1 species
AGCGAACGCUGGCGGCAGGCUUAACACAUGCAAGUCGAACGCCCCGCAAGGGGAGUGGCAGACGGGUGAGUAACACGUGGGAACGUACCCUCUGGUUCGGAAUAACCUGGGGAAACUCAAGCUAAUACCGGAUAAGCCCUUAUGGGGAAAGGUUUACCGCCGAAGGAUCGGCCCGCGUGUGAUUAGCUCGUUGGUGAGGUAACGGCUCACCAAGGCGACGAACAGUAGCUGGUCUGAGAGGAUGAUCAGCCACACUGGGACUGAGACACGGCCCAGACUCCUACGGGAGGCAGCAGUGGGGAAUAUUGGACAAUGGGGGCAACCCUGAUCCAGCCAUGCCGCGUGAGUGAUGAAGGCCUUAGGGUUGUAAGGCUCUUUUACCCGGGACGAUAAUGACUGUACCGGGAGAAUAAGCCCCGGCUAACUUCGUGCCAGCAGCCGCCGUAA